rnacentral:pre_miRNA from 1 species
AGUGAGACAGCAGGGUCAAAUUGUGGUUCCAUUCCAAAUUUUCUAAAGAUUCUCCAUACUGCUUUCCAAAGUGGUUGUACAAUUUUGCAAUCCCACCAGCAAU